UUACGGUCAAAUCAUACUGAACACACCGGUUCUCGUUCAAUCACUGAAGUUAAGCAGUGUCGAGCCAGGUUAGUACAUAGAUGGUGGGGGCUUGGGAACACCUGGUACUGUAA